GAUGAACGCUGGCGGCGUGCCUAAUACAUGCAAGUCGAGCGAACGGACGAGAAGCUUGCUUCUCUGAUGUUAGCGGCGGACGGGUGAGUAACACGUGGAUAACCUACCUAUAAGACUGGGAUAACUUCGGGAAACCGGAGCUAAUACCGGAUAAUAUUUUGAACCGCAUGGUUCAAAAGUGAAAGACGGUCUUGCUGUCACUUAUAGAUGGAUCCGCGCUGCAUUAGCUAGUUGGUAAGGUAACGGCUUACCAAGGCAACGAUGCAUAGCCGACCUGAGAGAUGGAUCGGCCACACUGGAACUGAAACACGGUCCAGACUCCUAAGGGAGGCAGCAAUAGGGAAGCUUCCGCAAUGGUCGAAAGCCUGACGGAGCAACGCCGCGUGAGUGAUGAAGGUAUUCAGAUCGUAAAACUCUGUUAUUAGGGAAGAACAUAUGUGUAAGUAACUGUGCACAUCUUGACGGUGCCUAAUCAGAAAGCCACGGCUAACUACGUG
rnacentral:rRNA from 1 species